AAACUGUUUCUGGUAUUCCAAAUCAUGGAAUGAUUUGUUUUCUCGAGAUCAUGAAAUAAUUGUUUUGUUUUUUCGAAAUCACGGAAUAAAAGUGUUGUUUUCUCGAGAUUCUGAAUUAAUUAUGUCAUUAUCACGGGAUAACGGUUUGUUUUCUCGAGAUCUCUAAUUAAUUAUGUCGUUAUCUCGGGAUAACAAGGUGAAUUUAAAAAGUAUU